GGGAAGGGGAGGGGUUUAAGAUGGUGGAAUUAACAAGCUACAGGUUAACCACAAAAUAUGUAACUGCUCAGUCAAAAAAGACUACCCACAUGAUUCGGUACACAAGAUGAUUUCAUAUUUCUCAAGCCGUAACUUUAUCUUCCUAAUAAACAGCAACUGCAAGAACUUUAGAGAUAUCAUGAAGUAAAAAUGUGCUCCAUAGCACUGAUACAAGCAAACAUGCCACAUUUCUGCCAUUCAAGGGGCGAUUUGAAAGACAUAAUCAAACCUGCAGACAUCCAAAAUAUUCUCAAAUCUUAAUAUAGAACGAGUGCAUAUGCAUACCAAUAAGCCCACCGAAGCCUGAAAUGUUAACUUAUUCUGAAUCUGAUGAGUCUGAUCUCGUACUUUGCCGCACACUCCUCCUGGUUUGUGCACUAGAUUUUGAAGCAAUUAUGGAAGAUUCACCUUCAUGGAAGAUGACUUGACAUUUCGCUAAUCUAUCUUCCAAUUCCUCUGUGCUGAAUUCGUCAGUUCCACCGAGCUCAUCAAAUCCUACCACAUAGUCAUCUACUUUUGCAUUCUUGAUAAGAGCAAGGGUUGGAAGAACAACGAUCUUCAACUUCUCAGCCAGAAAUGGACUUUUCUCAGCGUUAAUUUUUACAAAUCGUGUCUCAAUAUGUUGCUUUGCCAAAAUCCUCAAGUGCUUGUCCAUAACCUUGCAGGGCCAAUUUUCACGGUAAAAGUGGCAGACCACGCGAUCACUAGCCUUGACAAUGGAGAAGAAGUCCUUCUCAACGGGAAUCUCAGAGUAUUCGCCAUGGCCAAGAGAGAUCCAUCGAUUCCGCUUCUCCGCCAUCUUCUUCAUCUGCUGCAAUCUUCGCUCCCUCAAAGCCUCUAAAUCGUCGAGGUCGAGACGAUCUAGCGCUUGAAUUUCUUCAUCAAUCUUAUCCUCCACGGCCUUCGCCACCGUCAGCACCUGCUUCUCCAAUAUCUCUUGAACUCUCGAAUCCUCCAUUUUCGACAAGUUGGAAGACGACUCCCUUGCAGAAUGUUCCAACAGGUUUUGAGAGUUUCGAAGCAAAAUCAACCUGAAGUUGACGAAUGUGAAAAAAUGGACACAGAAUUUGAUAACGCUGCAGAAUCAACGGAAAAAGAAGAAUGGCCAAACGAACAGAAACAGAUCAGGGGAAGAAUAGGGAGAGGAGGGAUCUGGAAGUGAAACCCCAACCCCUAUUCUUCCCCUGAUCUGGUGUGGCCAAACGAACAGAAACAGAUCAGGGGAAGAAUAGGGAGAGGAGGGAUCUGGAAGUGAAACCCCAACCCCUAUUCUUCCCCUGAUCUGGUG
rnacentral:misc_RNA from 1 species